CGCAGGUGCUUGGAGGCGGAAAGAAUCAGGGGAGAAAUGGCUGCCGCGUGGGGAUCAUGAGGAAGAACUUCGGCCAUGUUAUGAUGGCCCUUGCAGUAGAUGUUCCUCAUUUUGUGGGAGUGCCGAUGACUCCACCAGACCCAAUUCUUGGGGUUUCAGAAGCCUUCUAAAGCAGAUAAAAAUGACCUGAUGCUCAAUCUUGGUGUUGGUGCCUAUAGAACAGAAGAGUUGCAGCCCUAUGUCCUCAAUGUAGUCAAGAAGGCUGAAAAUCUUAUGUUGGAGAAAGGAGAAAACAAUGAGUAUCUUCCUAUUGAAGGCUUAACAACAUUUAACAAAGCAACUGCAGAGCUACUCCUUGGAGCUGGCAACCUCGUCAUCAAGCAAGGACUGUUUCUAUACCAAGUCAUCAACAAUAUGGAGUAGAGGAAGAUGACAUGGAUCUGGAGUUCUAGACAGUUUAUAAAUCAAAUGUCACAAGCAUUGGUAAAAAAAAGGAAAAACAAGGUCGGGCAGAAUUCAAGGAAAAGCAAUCCUUUUUUUCUGUUGGAGAAAAAUAUCCACAGUAUGCAGAGUGUAAAAAAGUUUAAUCACUACUGCUAUAAAGUUUUUGUUCGAUAUUUUUUUAUGUACUGACAGAAAUCUUUUCCCCCCUCCUUAUCACACUUUUUUUCUAUCUUCAAAGUUUUCUAUCUAAAUCUUUUUCCACAUAAUAUGUUUUUUUAAGCUCGCAAUAUGUUUUUUUAGUCAACAUAUGUUUUAGUCGAAAUAUAAUAUUUUUCUAGCACACAUUUAUUCUUAAAUAAAUGUUUCUCUCAAAAAAUUUCAAUAUUAUGUUAUCCUUUAUAAUUUUUUUCGAUAAAACUUUUUCCAAUUUUUUUUCAAUAAUACGAUCCUAAGCACGAAUGUCAAAAGUUUUACAAGUAUUUAAUUUUUCAAUAAAUUUAUAUUAUUUUUAUCAAUUUUUCCAGUUCUUUUUCAAUAUAAUAUUUUGUUUAAAAGUUACUUUUAUUUUGAUUCCCCCACCCAUAUUUUACACCCAAAUAUUCCACAUCCCGAAAAAAAAUGGCUUCUGAAAAAAAUUUCAUGCUUUCGUGCACGCUCAGAAUAGCAGGAAAGCGAAACACGGAAAGAGAAAGGUGCGCGCUCAGAAUAGCAAGAAAGCGGAACACGGAAAGGGAAAGAUAGGAUCCGCACACAUACCAAAAAAGGAAAUAUGCGGCUGUCGGAAAUCGAUCAUACAGUCGCAUUCCCACGGGCGCCCGCAAAUUAGAAUCCGCGAACGCCGUUCCGAUUCGAGGGUCGGGGUUGAACAUGCUCAAUGUCAUAUUCAAGGUUGGAUCGUGUUCCGGUCUGAAAGGGGUCGCAGCCCCAUUGUUAGCAGAUUUAAUUAGGAUAAGGAGGUUAAGGACAGUGGAUUGGUGUGGUUUUUGUUAGACAAUGAUGAGCUGAGUACGUGUAGCAUGGUCUAAAUGUACUCUUUUAUAUAUUUCUUAUAUACUUGUGCAGAUUAGUUUUUUUACUAGUAACACAUAUAUAGAUUUUGUCUUUAUCGACCCGAAGAUAUCGACCCCGAUGAAUCAGGGUCGCAUUCCACAUAAUAAUUUAUCGUUCCAUAGAUGUAUACCCUCUUUGUACCACAAAUUUAUAAAGCGACGACUCUCGACCCUCGACCCCGUUGCUCGACCCGAUCAACUCAGAAACUUUGUGACUACUCGUCCGUGGGGAGAGUAAAAGAAGAUUAAAAAAAUCUGACGUGUGGGUCUUGUAGUUGGUAGUUGGUAUAAAGAGGAAUAUAGAGGAUAAAUGGGUGCAGCGAAACUAGAUAUAGAGAAGAGAAUCUCGAUGACCAAACAAAAAUAUUUCUUUUAGAGAAUGAUUUUAUAGUAGGACGAGUACAGAUAGCCUCAACUCGCCACCUCCUUUGCUUGCUUGCGCUCAUCCUCUCUCUAACCAGGCUUCCUCCCUUCAUUGCCAUCCCCAAUCUCCAAAUCCAUCUCUGGUCCAGACUCCGUCUUCCUCCUUUUAUCGCCCCUCCCCAAUCUCCAAAUCCAUCUCUGGUCCUGACUCCGUUCGCUCUCACCAUGGACCCCCCUUCCCGUUUUGUCAUGAAUCUUGGAUGCGCCCCCCGUUAUCUGCAGCGAGUAGAAGAGCCCGUUUUCCGUUGCUUCUGUGGGGAUCCCGCUUGGUCCAUGACCUCAGGGACGCCCCGGAAUCCUGGUCGGAAAUUCUUCAUCUGCCACAAGGCCGGAUUCGGGAGGGGCUGCAAACUUUGGAUUUGGGAGGAUGUGCUUAUGCGAUAUGUUACAAAUCAACCUAUGUUACAAAUUUCAUCCUUUUUUCCAGCUCUCGUGCUGUGUGUCCUAACCAAACCUAUGUUUUCAAUCAGUAACAGAUUUACUUGGUAAUGGAACUAGGGUUUUGAGUAUAGAUUUGUCUGAUAAUGCAGAUGAAUAUUGUAAAGGUCCUGAAAUUCAAAUCCCACAUCAACCGGGAUCACCAGAAUACACUUUGCACCGCUCCAUCUCUGAAAAAUUCACCAUCCGAAGGCUUUUUGCUUGCCUUAAUGCAAAUUCAAGCAACAUGGUCCCUGAACGUUCUCUUGUUAUGGAACCAAUCUCCAAUAAUGAUGUAAGAGGAUCGCCGUUGAGUAGUCCUUCUUCCCCCUUCGGAUCGGAGGAAGACUGUUAGCCCUGGUUCGGUGUGACUGUAGAAUCUGACAAGAUGGAAGACACUGUGGGCCUGAUUGCCUAAUUGUGUUUUGCGUUUCUGAGGGUGCUUUAGUUCCUAGGUUAGGGUGCCCCUAAUUAUGGUACCCGACAUACUCAUUUAGUAAGUCCAGAAUUUUUUUGCCUUACCAAACAGAUGUACUUUGUUUAGACUUUUCUUAUCUAUAAUACUAGUAGUACCUUUUUUACCCUAUAUACUCUAAAUUCAAUCUUUUUAUAAGUAUAAGUAUGUGUUGUCACCGGGAGUAAUUGUUCAAACCUCCAAUUUUGCAUAUUGUUGACUCCGUAGAUACAUACUUUUUCAUUGGUGGUAUUAAACUUUUAGCAUUAGCUCUAAAGAUUACAUUGCAUUCCUUUUGCACUGCAGAAAAAAUAUGAGGUGCAGGCAGGCAAAAUGUUCAGUGCAAACCACCUUCUCGAUGGGUUGAUCUUUAAAACCCCUUUAAAAAGACUUAGACAUUUUUUUAAAAAAAUAUUAAAAUUAUACGCCUCUAUAGUACAUCUAUAGAUAUAUAUUGCUACCAAAUUUGAGAUUUGAACUCCAUCUAGAGAAAAAAACAUACAAAAAGAAUAAAUUAAAGUUCAAUAGCACUAGAAGACAAAUUUUCUAAGAAUUAGUUUUCUAAUGCAUAUAUGCACCCAAAAUUUACCUUUGUGUACGUACGAUUUUUUUUAUACAAUGAUGAUGAUGAUUUUGGAUCCCAAAUUUGGUGACAAUUCAUAUGUAUAAAUGCACUAUGGAUGUGCGUCGUUCUAGGCUUUUGAAAAAUUCUAAGUUUUCCAAGAGGGUUUCCAUGAUUUCAACCGUGAGGGUGGUUUUCGCUCAAUGUUUUCUUGGUUUGCAAAAGUCACUCCCAAUCUUGGCUUUUAGAGCAAGAUAAAGAAAAACUAGUCUACAACAACUUUGUUUUUUUGUGAAACUACUCUACAACAACUCUCUAUAUGAACUCCCAAUCUUUUUCACACCUAGGAAAUCCUACUAAUCACGUGGAUAUAUAUACAUGCGCAUAUCAUCGGCCAAUCCAAAUGGAGAAGGACAUGGGAAAAAUAAGUAGGAUAGUGUUCCAAAAUGGAGAACAACAUGUGAAAGAUAAGUAGGAUAGUAUUCUUGAUGCAAAAGAAGUAUAAAUAGUUGGGACUUGGGGAUAAUUUAGAAAUAGUAUGAAAGAUUGUGAUUCAAGAUUAUUAUUUUCCAUCUGUUGUGAGCGAGAUUUUUAGAAACAAUUGAAGAAAGCCAAUAAAUAUGCUGUCAACUUUGUUUUUUAGUCACUUACAUAAGCUCAUUAAUUUACCAAGUGAUAUUUUUAGAAACUAUUGAAGAUGCUCUUAUUUAUUACCACACGCUACCUCCAUCAUUCUCUUGAGUGAUCAGAGAAUGAAAAGUGAGAACAUAUAGUACCUGACAGUAACAAAGACAGAUGAAUGGUCCACUGUCCGCGCAUUCUCAUAAAACAAUUAAUUACUAGAAAGCAUAGUCCGUGCAUUUGAUGUGACUAGUUAAUAUUGUGGCACGCAUGUGUAUGGUUGUAUAUGACACAGUCCCAUGUCUAAGCAAUGCGAUGUGUAUGAUUGUGAUAAUCUCACGCCUAAGCAUGAGAUGGAAGUCGUUCCAACAAAGUUAGGAUGCAAAGUGUCAUUAUAAAUAGGAUCAAAUAUAUGAUUAAUUGAAUAAAAAAAGCAUUAAAGCAAUCACAUAUUCUUGGUAUUUUUUAUUAUAUUUUUAUUUAAAUAUUUUUCAUUUCUACAAGUACUCAUUUAAGUUCUAAAUUGUAGGUCAUUUUAAUUGUACUAGCUAUAUAUAACUUUUACUGUGCACCUAGAUAUAAAGAUAUCAUAGUUCUUUUAAAAUAGGAAAAUCUACUAUAUACUAUAUAUAGGAACAAAGAUGACUGAUGCUACUAACAAGCCGUAGCUGCAUUUCAAGCUUUGUUUUUAAGCCAAACUAUCUGAAUUUGGACUAGAUUUAUAUAGAAGAUUAUAAAUAUACAAAUAAGUAUACUAUAUAUAUGAUGGGGGCAGGGACCCAGGGUCCCCAGCGGGCCCACUUUAAGUGGCACUAGCCCAGCAUCCCGUUAGGCGCACUCCAGCAAAGCACACGAGGGGCACGGACGGAUGCCAACCUCCGGGGCCCGGCUCGGCCAAUUGCCGACCCUUUGGAGAGGGACACGUGGAGGCCUCCCGACCAAGGACCCGCCGGGUCCACUCCGUACCGCGCGGCCCGAGCCAUGCGCACCAACAACGCCGCUUGGUACAACGGACGUGCCGAUCAAGCCAGCCCCCGUUCAUCCGUACACGCCGCCCAUUCCUGCCACACGCCACACCCGCACGAUCAACAAGACCCUCUGACAUGGACACAGUGUAGGCCGUGCAGCCUACUCGACCUAACGGAUGGGGGACGGGAAAGGGCAUCAACAAGCUCCGUCCCGCACGCUGUAAUGAUGGCUCCCCCUGACGCCACGCCAUUACGCCAGGGACUGUGACAGGGCCAGGCCGCCUGACCAUGUCAGGACACCCCUCAACCGGCGUGCCGUCCUCGGGUCAGAAGCGACACCCCUCAACCGGCGUGCCGUCCUCGGGUCAGAAGUCACAAAGGGAAGGUCGUGCGGUGCCAAUACGGACGGACAGGAGAGAAGAUGCAAGCCCCGACCGAGUACCGAAGCCACUCCGACUAACCAAUAUGGGACAACAGCUUGACAACCCGUCACCCAAGAAAACCGACCAGACACAGCCUCUCCACUCCCGACCGACCAAGCGGGACCGCUGACUGACGAAGACGAAGGACCCCCCGGCAGACCAAGAUAUCACGAUAGAAAUAUGUAAAUUGGGGGGCCCAUCUUGAAGUAUAAAAGGGAAAGCCCCUCACGUAGGAGAGAGAGUUCGAGAGAACAGUCCACUGCUCGAAAGCUUAUAAGCUCCCCAAAAACUUUGAGCAUCUAGACUCGAGCAAUAGAGCAAGAGAACCACCCCCAUACUAGACGUAGGACAUUUUCCGGCCCGAACUAGUUUAAAUCCUCGAGUCAUUGUGUGCUAGACCAUUCCGAUCUAACGCACGAGACACUAGCAGUCGAGUAGUUUGUUCGUCAGUCAUAUUCCGAGCCGACAUAUAUAUAUUGGUAUAUAUAUUUUUUUAUAGAUUUUAUUUAAAGUCUUAAACGUAAAAGUGUAGCUGGGGAGCACAUACACACGGAUUUUCUCAGGUUCAUAC